CUGUGUCACUCACUGUGUUGUUGUUGUGGUUGUUGUUGUGGUUGUUGUUGUUGUUGUUUACAGGAAGAGUAACCUGCUGCAGGGUGUACACAAGAUGGGGUUUAAUACUCACUGUGUCACUCACUGUGUCACUCACUGUGUCACUCACUGUGUCACUCACUGUGUUGUUGUUGUUAACAGGAAGAGUAACCUGCUACAGGGUGUACACAAGAUGGGGUUUAAUACUCACUGUGUCACUCACUGUGUCACUCACUCACUGUGUCACUCAGUGUCACUCACUGUGUUGUUGUUGUUAACAGGAAGAGUAACCUGCUACAGGGUGUACACAAGAUGGGGUUUAAUACUCACUGUGUCACUCACUGUGUCACUCACUGUGUCACUCACUGUGUUGUUGUUGUUGUUGUUUACAGGAAGAGUAAUCUGGUGGUUGUUGUGGUGGUUGUUGUUGUUGUUGUUGUUGUUUACAGGAGGAGUAAUCUGGUUGUGGUUGUUGUUGUUGUUAACAGGAAGAGUAACCUGCUGCAGGGUGUACACAAGAUGGGGUUUAACACUCACUGUGUCACUCACUGUGUCACUCACUGUGUCACUCACUGUGUCACUCACUGUGUCACUCACUGUGUUGUUGUUGUUGUUGUUUACAGGAAGAGUAACCUGCUGCAGGGUGUACACAAGAUGGGGUUUAAUACUCACUGUGUCACUCACUGUGUCACUCACUGUGUCACUCACUGUGUUGUUGUUGUUGUUGUUAACAGGAAGAGUAAUCUGGUUGUUGUUGUUGUUUACAGGAAGAGUAAUCUGCUGCAGGGUGUACACAAGAUGGGGUUUAAUACUCACUGUGUCACUCACUGUGUCACUCACUCACUGUGUCACUCACUGUGUCACUCACUGUGGUUAUUGUUGUUGUUGUUUACAGGAAGAGUAACCUGCUGCAGGGUGUACACAAGAUGGGGUUUAACACUCACUGUGUCACUCACUGUGUUGUUGUUGUUGUUGUUUACAGGAAGAGUAAUCUGGUUGUUGUUGUUGUUUACAGGAAGAGUAAUCUGGUUGUUGUUGUGGUUGUUGUUGUUGUUUACAGGAAGAGUAAUCUGGUUGUUGUUGUUGUUGUUGUUGUUUACAGGAAGAGUAACCUGCUGCAGGGUGUACACAAGAUGGGGUUUAAUACUCACUGUGUCACUCACUGUGUCACUCACUGUGUUGUUGUUGUUGUGGUUGUUGUUGUGGUUGUUGUUGUUUACAGGAAGAGUAACCUGCUGCAGGGUGUACACAAGAUGGGGUUUAAUACUCACUGUGUCACUCACUGUGUCACUCACUGUGUCACUCACUGUGUUGUUGUUAACAGGAAGAGUAACCUGCUGCAGGGUGUACACAAGAUGGGGUUUAACACUCACUGUGUCACUCACUGUGUCACUCACUGUGUUGUUGUUGUGGUUGUUGUUGUGGUUGUUGUUGUUGUUGUUAACAGGAAGAGUAACCUGCUGCAGGGUGUACACAAGAUGGGGUUUAACACUCACUGUGUCACUCACUGUGUCACUCACUGUGUUGUUGUUGUGGUUGUUGUUGUGGUUGUUGUUGUUGUUGUUAACAGGAAGAGUAACCUGCUGCAGGGUGUACACAAGAUGGGGUUUAAUACUCACUGUGUCACUCACUGUGUCACUCACUGUGUCACUCACUGUGUUGUUGUUGUUGUUGUGGUUGUUGUUGUUGUUAACAGGAAGAGUAACCUGCUGCAGGGUGUACACAAGAUGGGGUUUAACACUCACUGUGUCACUCACUGUGUCACUCACUGUGUUGUUGUUGUUGUUGUGGUUGUUGUUGUUAACAGGAAGAGUAAUCUGGUUGUUGUUGUUGUUGUUGUUUACAGGAAGAGUAACCUGCUGCAGGGUGUACACAAGAUGGGGUUUAACACUCACUGUGUCACUCACUGUGUCACUCACUGUGUUGUUGUUGUUGUUGUGGUUGUUGUUGUUGUUGUUAACAGGAAGAGUAACCUGCUGCAGGGUGUACACAAGAUGGGGUUUAACACUCACUGUGUCACUCACUGUGUCACUCACUGUGUCACUCACUCACUGUGUCACUCACUGUGUCACUCACUGUGUCACUCACUGUGUCACUCACUGUGUCACUCACUGUGUUGUUGUUGUUGUUGUUUACAGGAGGAGUAACCUGCUGCAGGGUGUACACAAGAUGGGGUUUAACACUCACUGUGUCACUCACUGUGUCACUCACUGUGUCACUCACUCACUGUGUCACUCACUGUGUCACUCACUGUGUCACUCACUGUGUCACUCACUGUGUCACUCACUGUGUUGUUGUUGUUGUUGUUUACAGGAGGAGUAACCUGCUGCAGGGUGUACACAAGAUGGGGUUUAACACUCACUGUGUCACUCACUGUGUCACUCACUGUGUUGUUGUUGUUGUUGUGGUUGUUGUUGUUGUUGUUGUUAACAGGAAGAGUAAUCUGGUUGUUGUUGUGGUUGUGGUUGUUGUUGUUGUUGUUAACAGGAAGAGUAACCUGCUACAGGGUGUACACAAGAUGGGGUUUAAUACUCACUGUGUCACUCACUGUGUUGUUGUUGUUGUGGUUGUUGUUGUUGUUGUUGUUAACAGGAAGAGUAAUCUGCUACAGGGUGUACACAAGAUGGGGUUUAAUACUCACUGUGUCACUCACUGUGUCACUCACUGUGUUGUUGUUGUUGUUUACAGGAGGAGUAAUCUGGUUGUUGUUGUUGUUGUUAACAGGAAGAGUAAUCUGCUACAGGGUGUACACAAGAUGGGGUUUAAUACUCACUGUGUCACUCACUGUGUCACUCACUGUGUUGUUGUUGUUGUUUACAGGAGGAGUAAUCUGGUUGUGGUUGUUGUUGUUUACAGGAAGAGUAAUCUGGUUGUUGUUGUUGUUGUUGUGGUUGUUGUGGUUGUUGUUAACAGGAAGAGUAACCUGCUACAGGGUGUACACAAGAUGGGGUUUAAUACUCACUGUGUCACUCACUGUGUCACUCACUGUGUCACUCACUGUGUCACUCACUGUGUUGUUGUUGUGGUUGUUGUUGUGGUUGUGGUUGUUGUUGUUGUUGUUUACAGGAAGAGUAACCUGCUGCAGGGUGUACACAAGAUGGGGUUUAACACUCACUGUGUCACUCACUGUGUUGUUGUUGUUGUUGUUGUUGUUGUUGUUUACAGGAAGAGUAACCUGCUGCAGGGUGUACACAAGAUGGGGUUUAACACUCACUGUGUCACUCACUGUGUUGUUGUUGUUGUUGUGGUUGUUGUUGUUGUUAACAGGAAGAGUAACCUGCUGCAGGGUGUACACAAGAUGGGGUUUAAUACUCACUGUGUCACUCACUGUGUCACUCACUGUGUUGUUGUUGUUGUUGUUUACAGGAAGAGUAAUCUGGUUGUUGUUGUUGUGGUUGUUGUUGUUUACAGGAAGAGUAACCUGCUACAGGGUGUACACAAGAUGGGGUUUAAUACUCACUGUGUUGUUGUUGUUGUUUACAGGAGGAGUAAUCUGGUUGUUGUUGUUGUUGUUGUUUACAGGAAGAGUAACCUGCUGCAGGGUGUACACAAGAUGGGGUUUAACACUCACUGUGUUGUUGUUGUUGUUUACAGGAGGAGUAAUCUGGUUGUUGUUGUUGUGGUUGUUGUUGUUGUUUACAGGAAGAGUAAUCUGCUACAGGGUGUACACAAGAUGGGGUUUAACACUCACUGUGUCACUCACUGUGUUGUUGUUGUGGUUGUUGUUGUGGUUGUUGUUGUUGUUGUUUACAGGAAGAGUAACCUGCUGCAGGGUGUACACAAGAUGGGGUUUAACACUCACUGUGUUGUUGUUGUUGUUUACAGGAGGAGUAAUCUGGUUGUUGUUGUUGUGGUUGUUGUUGUUGUUUACAGGAAGAGUAAUCUGCUACAGGGUGUACACAAGAUGGGGUUUAAUCGGCCCUCCCGGAUCCAGGAGAGCGCUCUACCCAUGAUGCUCGCAGACCCACCCCAGAAUCUGAUUGCUCAGUCUCAGUCAGGCACGGGGAAGACGGCCGCCUUUGUCUUGGCGAUGCUGAGUCGCAUCAACCCCGACCUCAACUACCCACAGUGUCUGUGUGUGUCCCCGACGUACGAGUUGGCACUGCAAACCGGCUCCGUCAUCACCCAAAUGGGGCAAUUCUGUCCGGAGAUCCGUCUGGCAUACGCCGUGCGUGGGAACAGAGUGGAGCGUGGCGUGAGAUGUGAGGACCACAUCGUCAUCGGCACGCCCGGCACCCUGCUGGACUGGUGCUCCAAGCUGCGAGUGGUGGAUCCCUCUCUGUCUCUCUGUGUCUCUCUCUCUCUCACCGUGUCUCUGUGUCUCUCACCGUGUC